GAUAUGAGCUGUUAGAUCGAAAUCAUUUAAUCCUACUGUCGUGGAAAAUAGGGAAGAGCUAUAAAUAACCAGCUAAUUCUUGAGAAAAGAGGCCGGUAGAAAUUUAAGAGAACAAAUCUUUUGGAAAACUAGGUAGAGAACAAACUAUGUUAAUACGGUGACUAGUUUGGUGUUUUGGAUAUACGAUUUUGCGACAAUCGUUGGCUUCCUUAUAAUUGAUCUUAGGAACAUUAUUUGGAGACCUUUGCAAAAACAGGUCAGUGCUAGCAGUACCAACUUGACUGUAUUGGAAUGCGCCAAAUCGUUUGUGUUUCUUGUGUUGUGCACCUUUGAGCUGUCUGGGGAUCCAUGAGACCAUCAAUUCUGACAUUGGUAGAAGAAUAGACAGUUUCAGUGAGACUGGGAGAAUUAUCACGAGAGGUCCUGAGAAUUUUUCCUAAUCUGAUAACUUCUUCAUCAUUGUCAGUACUCUUGUUGAGAAAAGAAAUCCAUAUUUACGGGGACACCAUCCUUAGGAGGGAUGAAAACAAUUGUUUAAGAAAAAUUCUUUUGACUUUUCCUUGAAGCAGGAGUAGUGGUAGUUGUAGAGCUGGAUGAAACUGUUUUGCUUAAAUUACUAACUUUGCCAAAGAAGUAGGUUUUCUCAUGUGCUUUUGCUUGAAAGCUGGCUGCAUCUUUACAUGCACCUUUAUAGUGUUUGAUGAUAUAACUAUCAGUGCAGAUGCCACUUGGAUGACGUUCAUAGAAAAAUUUGAUUCACCGGGACAAACCGACAUUAGUUAUGGCUUUGAUUCCCCUUCGCAGAGGAUCAGUAAGAUCAAUAAUAACAAACUUUCACAGGAUCACUUCCUACUGGAAUUGCAUCUUUGGGUUCGAUUGCCACCACUUCUCCCAUGAUUUCUCCUAUCUUUGUGACUGUUGCUACAUUCAUGUGUUCAGGCAAAAGAUAUUUGAGCUGAAUCCAAAAGUGUGGAAAUCCCAGUGCUUUUAUGAGUAUAUCAUGUCAGGUAUGUAGUCAUGAACCACCAACAACUUUUUGUUGAUACUCCAUGGACAUUCUUCAAUGACCUUGUUCAGUAAAUUCCAGUUGUUAAACUUGAAUAUAAAGAGAUUAAGGUCAAUGUCCAUAAUUAUAAGCUCUUCAAAAAACAUAAAAGGCCAAGUGAAUUGAAUGUAUUUUUGAGCCGUAUCAUGAUUCAUUCUUCCUUCUAUUAUCACCUUUCCAAUCGCAGAUGCUUCCCAAGUAGGUUAUUCAAUAACUUUUUCAUUACUAUCAUCUUGCUGAACAAUAACCACAUCACUGGUAUUACCUAGAUCAAUAGUAGCCUGUUUGAACUUGUUAACCAAAUCUCCAACUUGAGAUGUGCCUUCACCAUCCAUAGUGGGUAAGUUCAGAGUUGUGUGAUUUGAGGAAAUAGUGUUGUGAAACAAGUUAUAAUAAGAGGUAAUCUUUCCACUAGGGUUAUGAAUAGAAGAAAGAGAUAUUCUGUUA